GACGAACGCUGGCGGCGUGCCUAAUACAUGCAAGUCGAACGAGAGCGACCGGUGCUUGCACUGGUCAAUCUAGUGGCGAACGGGUGAGUAACACGUGGGUAACCUGCCCAUCAGAGGGGGAUAACAUCCGGAAACGGAUGCUAAAACCGCAUAGGUCUUCGAACCGCAUGGUUUGAAGAGGAAAAGAGGCGCAAGCUUCUGCUGAUGGAUGGACCCGCGGUGCAUUAGCUAGUUGGUGAGGUAACGGCUCACCAAGGCCGUGAUGCAUAGCCGACCUGAGAGGGUGAUCGGCCACAUUGGGACUGAGACACGGCCCAAACUCCUACGGGAGGCAGCAGUAGGGAAUCUUCCGCAAUGGACGCAAGUCUGACGGAGCAACGCCGCGUGAGUGAAGAAGGUUUUCGGAUCGUAAAACUCUGUUGUUAGAGAAGAACAAGUGCUAGGGUAACUGUUAGCGCCUUGACGGUAUCUAACCAGAAAGCCACGGCUAACUACGUG
rnacentral:rRNA from 1 species